AGGGUCCGUGAUGCGGUGGGCAGCGGGGUGGCAGUCUGUGAGGGGUCGGCACAGUGUGUGGGUUUUUUGGAGGGUGCAUAACAGUAAAGCCAAAUGGUAUCCUACUGCUAGUGCUGCGCGUCGUGAGCAGCCCCAGUGCGACAGCAGCACCUGUACGGAACCACAGAAUACUAUCAUACAAUCAUUACGCUUGGAAAAGACUUACGAGGUCACCUAGUCCAACUGUGAACCCAUCACCACCAUGUCCUGUAGUGGCACAUCUACUCGUUUCUUGAACGCCCCCCCCAGACGGUGACUCCAAGCACCUCCCCGGGCAGCCCGUGCCAGCGCCUCCGCUCUUCGUGAGAACCUCCAGCAUGAACCUCUCCUGGCACGACAGAAGGCCAUUACCUCUCAUUCUGUCACAGUUAGCCGCGAGAAACGACCUCAAUAGCUCACCUUAGCUUCUGGGCUUUCCAGGCAUAUAAAUAUCUUCAGGGCAGGAACCAAGUGGGUGCGGCUGGGCUCUUUUUAACAGCGCCCAGUGACAGAACAAGGGGCAGUGGGCACAUAACUGAAACACGAAGGGUUCUUUAUGAACAUGAGGAAAAACUUCUUUAUUUUGAGGGUAACAGAGCACGAGCAGUCUGCCCAGAAAAGUUGUGGAGUCUCCUUCUCUGGAGAUACUCAAAACCUGCCUGGACACUUUCCUGUGUAACUUAUUGUAAGGAGCCUGCUUUAAUAGAGCAUUGGUUUAGGUGAUCUGCAGAGGUCCCUUCCAACUCCAACAAUUCUGUCACUCUGGUCUGAUGUUGCAUGCAACCCCUUUCAGUUUUUGCUUCUCCUUAUGAGCUGCCCUAGAUGCUUUAUUUGAAAUUGUGAGCAAUGGAGCAGCAGUGGUGAGGACAGUAGUACUACAUAACAGGGCCUUUUAAGGUUUAAUAUGAGACAGACAGUACUGUGUGAAGAACUGUCAUCUUUAAUGUGGCCUGGGUAUGUCAAAACAGUUAUGGAACUCAGUUGUACCACCAACACAUUGAGAGAGCUUGCUUUGUAUGUUUGCUGUGUAUGUUUGGUAGAAGCUCCAACCUGAUGUAUGGGUAUAAUGCAGUGCCUGGAUAUGUAUGUAAAGGUUUUACUGUUCUAGAAGAAGCUGUCUUAUCUGACAGUACCUAAAUUCAUAUAUUAGAUUGAAAUGAUGAAUGAAAGAUUGCUAUAUGAUUUUCUUAAACCAGUUAAGAGUGAUAAUUGGUUCAGUAAUGGAUUUUUUUUUCUGCUAGAGAUUUUAGGUAUCAAGACUUCGUAUGUUUGUAGAAGGUAACUGCUGUUUUUCAGACCGGCAGUAACCAUAACCACUGGCAAAACUGGAUUAAGGCUGUUGCCUUCUGUAGGAAAAGAAAACAUUUCAAUAUAAAGUCUUUCUAGGUGAAACUGUAAUUUAUGUUCCACUCAAAAUUCUCCAUCUGGAAAUUGAUGUGGAAUAUUGUGCCCAUCUAUUUCUGUUCAUCAUACAAUUAUUACCUUUACAAAGAUCGAGUAUUUAUUGAGGCUGUUACAUAUGCAAUCAUACUGAAUUAACUGUGAGAACAGCCAGUGCUGGGGCGUUUGUGAGCUUUCUCACAUGUAAUACCACAGGUUGAUCAGAAGAUGGUGUGAUUGUACUUCUGAUUGUGAUAACUGAAAAUUCCAUGUACUUUCAUAUUGAUUACUUCUCUGCAACUGUCUGCAACUUCCUUGAGCUUGUGAUGGGCUCCUUUCUGCUUUGCAGUAUGUACAGGUAUCACAUACAUACCACAUUUUAAGGAUAUGUAAAGAAAAACGCAAAGACAAAAGACCCUGUUGGGAAACAUCAUUUG
ensembl:lncRNA